rnacentral:tmRNA from 1 species
GGGCUUGUAAAGGUUUCGACUGGGGUUUAGAAGCUGGUGAAGCUAUCCGCAUGCGAUGCGUUAAAUGGCAAACUUAAAUAUAAACGCUAACGAAAAUUUAGCUUACGCUGCCUAAUGACAGCAGUCUGACCUAGAGCACUCACACUUUAGGACCCAGGCUUCGAACAUGUGAGAAACGACUUGACUUAAGCUUUGCGGUCAUGGGCGUAUUAUGAAGCUACUAAAGGCAUCAGGAUGUUAGUUUCCGGCUGCUGGAGGGAAUGUCAAAUAACUGACUAUGAUAGUAGAAGAACAGGGGAAGAGCUUUAGGACGUGGGUUCGACUCCCACCAGGUCCACU